AACUCCUUAGCUCAGUGGUAGAGCGUUGCGCUUGUAUGCCUGGAGCCCACCACUCCAACUGAAUGUCAUUUAUACAAUGCAAAGGCCAGCCGUUCAAUCCGGCUAGGAGACA